CACUAUCAUCUUGUUGAAAUUAUCCACAAAAUUACUUUAAGGAUCCAUUUUCAUCCCUAAUUUGAGCCACCCAAAAAAUUUGGGUAGCUUUAUUGACCUCACAGAUAGCAAAAAAUCCCUAGAUCGGUGCAGGACUUGCUUGCUGGCAAGAACAUAGAAAAUUGGCCAUGAAUUUUGGGGAAAAGUCAAAGUUUGAAGACUGAAUCUUAAGGAAAACAAGAGCUA
rnacentral:lncRNA from 1 species